GACGAACGCUGGCGGCGUGCCUAACACAUGCAAGUCGAGCGGGAACUCAGGGAGGGGUAACCCUCUUUGGGGGAGAGCGGCGAACGGGUGAGUACCACGUGGGCAACCUGCCCCAGACACUGGGAUAACUCCGGGAAACCGGGGCUAAUACCGGAUACUCCGGCCGGACCGCAUGAUCCGGCCGGGAAAGCACCAACGGGCUGGGAGGGGCCCGAGGCCUAUCAGCUCGUUGGUGGGGUAACGGCCCACCAAGGCGACGACGGGUAGGCUGGUCUGAGAGGACGACCAGCCACACUGGGACUGAGACACGGCCCAGACUCCUACGGGAGGCAGCAGUGGGGAAUAUUGCGCCAAUGCGCGAAAGCGUGACGCAGCGACGCCGCGUGGGGGAUGAAGGCCCUCGGGUUGUAAACCCCUUUCGACAGGGACGAAGCGAAAGUGACGGUACCUGCAGAAGAAGUCCCGGCUAACUACGUGCCAGCAGCCGCAGUAAGAC
rnacentral:rRNA from 1 species